AUGUACUACGGGAAAAGCAUUAGGAGGCGGGGAGGAGAUGAGGAGCCCCGCCCCCAGCUCCCCAGAGCAGCAACGCUAGCGCUGACACGCUCCCAUAAAGACCUCCCGAAUCCGCAUUUCACUCUUCAGAUCAAGAAGCCACUGGGACCAGGUCAGACGAGAGCAUCAGGAAGGCAGCCCACUGAUAAUAUAGAUUAUGGGAAUGUUUGGGUCGCACCAGCGCUGUGAAAUUGAUCGGCUCCAUUCAGCACCUUGCGAAUCAACAGAGGAAAUCAAUGGUUGGCAGACGGUGAGGAGGCAUCACUGAGAAGUCAAAGUGCAGCCCUGAAGGGAGCUGGAAAAGAAGCAAGCAGGACACCUCCAGGCUUUGCUGGAAGGAAGAUGCUCCCUGGUGCCAAGGAACAGCAGGACGUAGUCACUUCUGCCUUGUGGGAAGCAUCUUCAGCUCGGACCUCAUCCAGGCAAAAGAACUUUAAAAGCAGCCUUUCCAUAAUCAUAAUCAAGGAUGGUACAAACAGGUAGCUGCAGGGCGUUUACCCCAACGUAGUUGGAAAUAUUGAAAAUCUGGAAACAACCUAUAUCAUCCAACAGAAGUCAGUUAUACAGACCUUCCACACAAUGACAUACUAAAUUAUCAUUUCUAAAACCACAAGAGAGAAAAAAAGAUACUGCUACUGAAAUAAUAACUUGCUUAACUUUUAAUAAACAAA